UAGCGGAGGGUGCAAGCGUUAAUCGGAAUUACUGGGCGUAAAGCGCGCGUAGGCGGUUAGAUAAGUCGAUUGUGAAAUCCCCGGGCUCAACCUGGGAAUUGCAGUCGAGACUGUCUGACUAGAGUGUAGGAGAGGGUGGUGGAAUUCCCGGUGUAGCGGUGAAAAUGCGUAGAUAUCGGGAGGAACAUCAGUGGCGAAGGCGACCACCUGGCCCAAUACUGACGCUGAGGCGCGAAAGCUAGGGGAGCAAACGGG
rnacentral:rRNA from 1 species